rnacentral:rRNA from 1 species
CAGUCGCCACGGUAAUACGAGGGGUGCAAGCGUUAAUCGGAAUUACUGGGCGUAAAGCGUGCGUAGGCGGUUUGUUAAGUCUGCUGUGAAAUCCCCGGGCUCAACCUGGGAAUGGCAGUGGAUACUGGCAAGCUAGAGUGUGUCAGAGGAUGGUGGAAUUCCCGGUGUAGCGGUGAAAUGCGUAGAGAUCGGGAGGAACAUCAGUGGCGAAGGCGGCCAUCUGGGACAACACUGACGCUGAGGUACGAAAGCAUGGGGAGCAAACAGGAUUAGAUACCCGCGUAGUCCCUGUUUCUUAUAA